UACGUAGGGGGCGAGCGUUGUUCGGAUUUACUGGGCGUAAAGGGCGCGUAGGCGGCCACCGCAAGUCGACUGUGAAAUCUCCGGGCUUAACCCGGAAAGGUCAGCCGAUACUGCGGGGCUAGAGUGCAGAAGGGGCAACUGGAAUUCUCGGUGUAGCGGUGAAAUGCGUAGAUAUCGAGAGGAACACCUGCGGCGAAGGCGGGUUGCUGGGCUGACACUGACGCUGAUGCGCGAAAGCUAGGGGAGCGAACGGG
rnacentral:rRNA from 1 species